rnacentral:lncRNA from 1 species
AAUUAAUUUUUUGAGAAAGAAAGUUUUAGGUCCAUUUGAACUAUCAGAACAAUUUGACAUUAUCAUCUGUUAGAUAUGUCUCGAAUUUUAGUACCACAAGAUUUUCUAACUCUAUUCUGUUUUGAUUAUCCCAUUAAGUUAAGUUUAGAUUAUGCCUAAUUUUAUUGAUAUAUUCCUAAUCUUAGUGGAUUUGUAUUCUUAGUUGUAUUAGGAUUUAGCCACUAUUAUAAAUAUACCCUUUAUACCAUUGAUUUGGUGCGGAAGAUGAGAGAGGAAAUAUGGGUGUAUUUUUUGGGAUUAGGGUUUUGUGAGAGAGACAUAUUUUGUACACCACUUUGAUUCUAAUGAAGAUUUUCGCUCUGUCUUCGCCCGUGGACGUAGGCCGUUGGCCGAACCAUGUAAAUAUUGUGUGCUUUAUUUUUCUUCUCUCUUUCUCGGAUCUCUUUUGGUAUUUUCGCAUCCGACGAACUAGAUUUUCUCAGUUUUAGUUCUAACAUCAUCCAAACUAUAAAAAUGAAAUAAAAUAAACCACAAUCUGUUUUUAAAUAAA